CCGCCCGGCUGGGGGUCGAUUGCUCGAUUGAAUCCCGCCUCCGGCGAUCGCCGGCAUCCGAGCUUUAGAUGUCGCUCACCGGUAGAUUGGAGACGAAAUGCCUCGCAUGCCAGCACUAUGAAACUCUGCCACCGUGCAGGCUCGUGCAGGCAGUGAAUUAAUGAUGAAGCAUUUCAACAUAGCUUGGCAUAUGUUGCCAAGUCACUAUAGCUAAAAAUUCACGAUGAAGCAUUUCAACAUACUUCAAUGAUGUUACCAAACACAUGAUGUGGCACCUAGUUGAGAUAUGCAAGGGCAACCGACUAGAGGCCCUCAGUGUCAUAAUACCCACUCUCUUGCAGAUAUUCUUACAUAUCAACAGGAAACAUGGUGCUACUAUGGAUACUGUCUUGAUUAAAUGAGGCUCUAUAGUAUGGUGUGUAUACAUGUGAACUGUAACCCUGAGAAUACUGCAUGUAAGUGCAGGACGUGACAUCAUUUCUGAAGUAGCUCUCUCUUUCAAUCUUUACUAAAUGUCCUGGGUGUGGCAUCCUAGCUUCCCCUUUCUGGUAAGCCAAAACCUUGGCCUUAAUACUGUCUUCUUCAGGGCUUGAUGGAGAACAAGUAUUUGUGCGCCCUUGUACUGGUGAGGUUUGAGCAACUCCAUAUGUGCUUGCAGAUUUACAACC